GAGUAGAUGCACCCUGAUAGUUCCCCCUCAACUUCGGUUGGGGGGUUUUUGU
rnacentral:sRNA from 2 species